rnacentral:rRNA from 1 species
AGACCCGAAACCCGGUGAUCUAGCCAUGGGCAGGUUGAAGGUUGGGUAACACUAACUGGAGGACCGAACCGACUAAUGUUGAAAAAUUAGCGGAUGACCUGUGGCUGGGGGUGAAAGGCCAAUCAAACCGGGAGAUAGCUGGUUCUCCCCGAAAGCUAUUUAGGUAGCGCCUCGUGAAUUCAUCUCCGGGGGUAGAGCACUGUUUCGGCUAGGGGGCCAUCCCGGCUUACCAACCCGAUGCAAACUGCGAAUACCGGAGAAUGUUAUCACGGGAGACACACGGCGGGUGCUAACGUCCGUCGUGAAGAGGGAAACAACCCAGACCGCCAGCUAAGGUCCCAAAGUCAUGGUUAAGUGGGAAACGAUGUGGGAAGGCCCAGACAGCCAGGAUGUUGGCUUAGAAGCAGCCAUCAUUUAAAGAAAGCGUAAUAGCUCACUGGUCGAGUCGGCCUGCGCGGAAGAUGUAACGGGGCUAAACCAUGCACCGAAGCUGCGGCAGCGACGCUGAUGCGUUGUUGGGUAGGGGAGCGUUCUGUAAGCCUGUGAAGGUGUGUCGUGAGGCAUGCUGGAGGUAUCAGAAGUGCGAAUGCUGACAUAAGUAACGAUAAAGCGGGUGAAAAGCCCGCUCGCCGGAAGACCAAGGGU